AGACAGCCCCAGAAAGCUGGAGGCAGAACCCAGAAAGCUACAAAUACUGCAGAAUCUACGGGCGGGUGGGUCGACGCUGUGGCCCUCAGAGGUCCAGAAGCCUAACUGAGCUCCUGCUCCCACAGCUUGCCUGUCAUCAGCUGCAACUGCUCUGCCUACAGGUGCAACUGAGCUAAAGUUAGAGAAAAUUUUAGGAUUCUCCAAGCCAGGGAUCUCCAACACUGUCACAUAUUAAUGAAUCACUUGCAUUAAAUGAAGAUGUCCAGGCUGCACCCAAGGCCCAAAACCCCAGAAUCUCUGUGCUUGGAGUUUGGGCGUCAACAUUUUGCAAAGCUUGCCAGGUGAUUCUGGCAUGUGGACAAGGCUGAGGCACAUGGCUUUGCAGAGAAGAACCAAAAUUGCCAUCAAGGUGCAAUUUUCAGGACAUCAGUUCUUCUGGCAGGUCCUGCUCACAUCACCUUUUAUGUGCCUCUUUGGUCCACCAUUCUGCCUCCGUCCUUGUCCAGGGCCAGGUGCUGUCCCCCAGGCUGCAGCAGGGGCUUCCUCUUUGGUUUUGUGCUCUGCUCUGCUGACCUUCUGUGACCGCCCCAUCUCAUCCUCACAUCUGUCUUCCCAAAGAAGUCUGCAGAGCUGCGCCUGGGAGCUAGGGCAGCAACAUGAUUUAGCAACACAGAAAAUAAGAUUUCUGCCAAGAGCCACACCACCCUGAUCAUGCCGCAUCUCAGCAGAUCUCAGAAGCUCAGCGGGGUCUGGCCAGGUUAGUACUUGGAUGGGAGACUAAGACUAUCAGGGUUAAAAAAAAAAAAACCAGUUUCUCCCUGCUCUAAACCCCUGCUCUUCAUUGCCUGACCAUUGCCUCAGGACCCAUUCAGAGGACUAGAAACCUCUGAAUGAGUCUCAGCCUCUCCCUUGCUUGCUCCUAAGGACGGCUGGGUGUUAGCCAGCCAGGUCUGGGGUGCAGGACAGACAGGGUGGGCGGAGACAGGAAGGGAAGGAGGUUCCUGCUUCUUGGAUCAGCUUCUGGGCCGUCUUUUGCUUUAAAUAAUUCAGGUAAUGGGUAAAUAGGGAGAAAAUUUUUCAGUCCAUGUAAAGUGCUGAUAAAGCACAGACAGAGGAUGAAAAUAGGAAAGACUCAAAAGCUGAAAGUGAUGUGAAUGUUUGCCAUUUCAAGUGAAAGGCUACCGAGUUUUGGAAGAAUAAGAAAAUAAAUGAAAGAUAAUUUUAAGAAAUGUUGCUCUG
rnacentral:lncRNA from 1 species